rnacentral:rRNA from 1 species
GAUGAACGCUGGCGGCGUGCCUAAUACAUGCAAGUCGAGCGAACAGACGAGGAGCUUGCUCCUCUGACGUUAGCGGCGGACGGGUGAGUAACACGUGGAUAACCUACCUAUAAGACUGGGAUAACUUCGGGAAACCGGAGCUAAUACCGGAUAAUAUAUUGAACCGCAUGGUUCAAUAGUGAAAGACGGUUUUGCUGUCACUUAUAGAUGGAUCCGCGCCGCAUUAGCUAGUUGGUAAGGUAACGGCUUACCAAGGCAACGAUGCGUAGCCGACCUGAGAGGGUGAUCGGCCACACUGGAACUGAGACACGGCCCAGACUCCUACGGGAGGCAGCAGUAGGGAAUCUUCCGCAAUGGGCGAAAGCCUGACGGAGCAACGCCGCGUGAGUGAUGAAGGUCUUCGGAUCGUAAAACUCUGUUAUUAGGGAAGAACAAAUGUGUAAGUAACUAUGCACGUCUUGACGGUACCUAAUCAGAAAGCCACGGCUAACUACG